GAUUAACGCUGGCGGCAUGCCUAAUACAUGCAAGUCGAUCGAGGUAGCAAUACCUAGAGGCGAACGGGUGAGUAACACGUAUCCAAUCUACCCGAAUGAGGAGGAUAACUAGUCGAAAGAUUAGCUAAUACUCCAUACUAUAUGCUUAUCGCAUGAGAACAUAUUUAAAGAUGGGUUAAACCAUCGCAUUUGGAUGAGGGUGCGUCAUAUCAGGUAGUAGGCGGUGUAAAAGACCACCUAACCAAUGACGUGUAGCUGUACUGAGAGGUAGAACAGCCACAAUGGACUGAGACACGGCCCAUACUCCUACGGGAGGCAGCAGUAGGGAAUUUUUCACAAUGGGGGAAACCCUGAUGGAGCAAUGCCGCGUGAACGAUGAAGGUCUUUGGAUUGUAAAGUUCUUUUAUAGUAGACGAAUGGCAGGUAGAGGAAAUGCUAUCUAUUUGACUGUAUACUGUGAAUAAGCAACGGCUAACUAUGUGCCAGCAGCCGCCGUAA
rnacentral:rRNA from 1 species